rfam:Schistosoma curassoni strain Dakar, Senegal genome assembly, scaffold: SCTD_contig0013555
AUCCGCUUGACAAGUCCCAAAUAGGACGAAACGCGCGUCCUGGAU